rnacentral:lncRNA from 1 species
AACAGAGAGAAGAUUCUGUAGCUGCAAAAAUACCUCUAGGUGUUCCGGACACUAUGUGCCUAUAGCUGGCUACAGGAUCACAGCAGCCAAAAGCCCUCCAGGAAGAAGUAUGGAAGCAGCUUUAUUGAGGUUGCCAGCAAGGAUUACGGCUUCUUUGACGCAUGAACGUUUUGGAAUUUAUGAGGAUUUUAAUGAGGAUUUUCUGAAAAAAAUAAAAAUUGUUAUGUUCUGGGCAUUCAUCUAUCCUCUCAUCAGCUUUUGAUCUACCACAUCUUGGGAUAUGAAUAAUGUUUCUGUUAAUGAGCCAGCCUCU